rnacentral:rRNA from 1 species
CCUACGGGUGGCAGCAGUGAGGAAUAUUGGUCAAUGGACGAGAGUCUGAACCAGCCAAGUAGCGUGAAGGAUGACUGCCCUAUGGGUUGUAAACUUCUUUUAUAUGGGAAUAAAACGUUCCACGUGUGGGAUUUUGUAUGUACCAUAUGAAUAAGGAUCGGCUAACUCCGUGCCAGCAGCCGCGGUAAUACGGAGGAUCCGAGCGUUAUCCGGAUUUAUUGGGUUUAAAGGGAGCGUAGGUGGAUUGUUAAGUCAGUUGUGAAAGUUUGCGGCUCAACCGUAAAAUUACAGUUGAAACUGGCAGUCUUGAGUACAGUAGAGGUGGGCGGAAUUCGUGGUGUAGCGGUGAAAUGCUUAGAUAUCACGAAGAACUCCGAUUGCGAAGGCAGUUCACUGGACUGCAACUGACACUGAGGCUCGAAAGUGUGGGUAUCAAACAGGAUUAGAUACCCCAGUAGUC